rnacentral:rRNA from 1 species
AAUGACUCUCGACAACGGAUAUCUCGGCUCUCGCAUCGAUGAAGAACGUAGCGAAAUGCGAUACUUGGUGUGAAUUGCAGAAUCCCGUGAACCAUCGAGUCUUUGAACGCAAGUUGCGCCCGAAGCCAGUAGGCUGAGGGCAUGCCUGCCUGGGUGUCAUGU